AUUGAACGCUGGCGGCAUGCCUUACACAUGCAAGUCGAACGGCAGCGCGGACUUCGGUCUGGCGGCGAGUGGCGAACGGGUGAGUAAUACAUCGGAACGUACCCUGUUGUGGGGGAUAACUAGUCGAAAGAUUAGCUAAUACCGCAUACGACCUGAGGGGGAAAGUGGGGGACCGCAAGGCCUCACGCAGCAGGAGCGGCCGAUGUCUGAUUAGCUAGUUGGUGGGGUAAAGGCCCACCAAGGCGACAAUCAGUAGCUGGUCUGAGAGGACGAUCAGCACGACUGGGACUGAGACGCGGCCCAGGCUCCUACGGGAGGCAGCAGUGGGGAAUUUUGGACAAUGGGGGCAACCCUGAUCCAGAAAUGCCGCGUGUGUGAAGAAGGCCUUCGGGUUGUAAAGCACUUUUGUCCGGAAAGAAAUCGCGCUGGUUAAUACCUGGCGUGGAUGACGGUACCGGAAGAAUAAGCACCGGCUAACUACGUGCCAGCCGCCGCAGUAA
rnacentral:rRNA from 1 species